UGGGGAAUAUUGGACAAUGGGGGCAACCCUGAUCCAGCAAUGCCGCGUGUGUGAAGAAGGUCUUCGGAUUGUAAAGCACUUUCGACGGGGACGAUGAUGACGGUACCCGUAGAAGAAGCCCCGGCUAACUUCGUGCCAGCAGCCGCGGUAAUACGAAGGGGGCUAGCGUUGCUCGGAAUGACUGGGCGUAAAGGGCGUGUAGGCGGUUUACACAGUCAGAUGUGAAAUCCCCGGGCUUAACCUGGGAGCUGCAUUUGAUACGUGUAGACUAGAGUGUGAGAGAGGGUUGUGGAAUUCCCAGUGUAGAGGUGAAAUUCGUAGAUAUUGGGAAGAACACCGGUGGCGAA
rnacentral:rRNA from 1 species